UUGAAAGGGAAACGAUUGAAGUCAGUCAUGCUGGUGGGAAUCAACUUAGGGGAAACUCUGGGUGCACUUCUUCGCUUGGCAGGUCAACGUCGAUUUUGAAUGUCAUAAAAUAAUUGGGGAAGGUAGCUUCUUCGGGAGUGUUAUAGCCCUUGAUAGAUGUGAUGUUUGAGGUCGAGGAUUGCAACGGAUACCUUUGGGGCUAGCUGCCUGAUCUCUAAUUGGUGUUGGGUUACGGAUAGCAUGCUGACCGUGAUCUAAUUACUGGUUAAAAGGUUAGAGUAUGCAUAGAUUCGUUAAGGAUGUUGACGUA
rnacentral:rRNA from 1 species